rnacentral:lncRNA from 1 species
ACACAGUGAGACUCUGUCUCAAUAAAUAAAUAAGUUGCAGCAGCUGAAACUGCUAUGUGUUCAGCAAACCUAUUUCCUUCUACAGUUGGUGCACAGCUGCACUACGUUUCCCUGCGUCCCCAGCAAGUAGGAGGAACCAUAUGACGAGUUCUGCCAAUGGAUAUGAACAGAAGUGCUGGUCACUGUUUCCAGGCCUUGAUGGUAAAAAUCCUCCUCCCAGCCCUCCACGUUCUCUAUCUGUCCCCAUCUGCAACUGAAUGCAGAGAAGGAAGGUGUCAUAGAAGAUGCAGAGCCACAUGAUGAAAGGAGCCUGGCUCCCUGGAUGGUGGAACAGUCUCCACAAUGACCCUCAUUGGACUGUGAUGAUCAGGUUCUGAGAUAUGGAUUGGUGUCCAAGUAGUUUAUUGGGAGGUGAUCCCAGGAAACAUCAGUAUACAGGCAAGUGGGAGAGUGAGAAGGAAAAGGGAUGGAUUCCAAUGAAUGGCACAUUAUCUACCAGUUUGUACUGUGGCAGCUGGAGCUCAGUCACACAAGGAAACUCUGGGAGGCAAUACAGGACAUAUCUCAGAGCUAUCCUAACUGAAAGACCUGCUUUCAUCCAUCACUGAUGCAUGAAAUAGAGCACCUUUAAUACAGCACCUGAGACCCCAAAAAGUUAGGCCAAGUUGGUGCAAGAACACAAAGAACCAUGGACUCGCUAAUUUUCAAUAGAUGACCAACUGCCACCUGAACUUCUGAAUGGGUUUUUCUCUGAGCCCACCUGAUAUGCUCUACUUCAGUGGGAGGUGGGCAGUGAUAAGAAGUCAAGAAGACUUGAAUUCCUGCCAACUGAGAGACAGCUGAAGGAAAUGGGAACAUUUAUCUUGGAGAAGAGAAAUAUGGAGGCCUCAAGGACUGGCAUCAGACAGCUGACUCGCUGCUAUGUGCAAGAAGGAGUGGGCUUAUCUUAAGUUGUCCAGAGUGCAGUAGAAAAUGGAAACUCUGGGCAAUCAGAUUUCAGCUCAAUGUAAGUGAUUUCUCUCUAUUGUUGUUUUGUAAAUUUUUGAGAAAAUGGUUUUAAGUGAUAGAAAUAGCAACAUACUCUUUAUAAAAAAUAAAAUCAAACAAUAACAAAAUGUCUAAGGUGGAGAGUAAAAGCCUCUUUUCCUUUACCCACUCCCACUCCCUAGGAAUACCCUUGAUAUCUAUCCUCCCAUGUCCCCUAUCUAUGCACAUGUAAACGUGCUAUCCAUACAUAUACAUAUGCCUACUACGUGUCCCUAUAAAUUUCCUGUAUUUUUGUCUGUUUUCAAAUAUAUGGCCAUAAAAUGGGUAUAUCUCAGAAUGUAAUGAACAAGAAAGGCCCUUUAAGAGUAAAUUUCUGUGAUUUCCAAAUGUUA